rnacentral:rRNA from 1 species
UACGUAGGGUGCAAGCGUUAAUCGGAAUUACUGGGCGUAAAGCGUGCGCAGGCGGCUUUGCAAGACAGAUGUGAAAUCCCCGGGCUUAACCUGGGAACUGCAUUUGUGACUGCAAGGCUGGAGUGCGGCAGAGGGGGAUGGGAAUUCCGCGUGUAGCAGUGAAAUGCGUAGAUAUGCGGAGGAACACCGAUGGCGAAGGCAAUCCCCUGGGCCUGCACUGACGCUCAUGCACGAAAGCGUGGGGAGCAAACAGG